rnacentral:rRNA from 1 species
GAUGAACGCUGGCGGCGUGCCUAAUACAUGCAAGUCGAGCGAACGGACGAGAAGCUUGCUUCUCUGAUGUUAGCGGCGGACGGGUGAGUAACACGUGGAUAACCUACCUAUAAGACUGGGAUAACUUCGGGAAACCGUAGCUAAUACCGGAUAAUAUUUUGAACCGCAUGGUUCAAAAGUGAAAGACGGUCUUGCUGUCACUUAUAGAUGGAUCCGCGCUGCAUUAGCUAGUUGGUAAGGUAACGGCUUACCAAGGCAACGAUGCAUAGCCGACGUGAGAGGGUGAUCGGCCACACUGGAACUGAGCCACGGUCCAUACUCCUACGGGAGGCAGCAGUAGGGAAUCUUCCGCAAUAGGCGAAAGCCUGACGGAGCAACGCCGCGUGAGUGAUGAAGGUCUUCGGAUCGUAAAACUCUGUUAUUAGGGAAGAACAUAUGUGUAAGUAACUGUGCACAUCUUGACGGUACCUAAUCAGAAAGCCACGGCUAACUACGUG